GCUCCAGUGGUCUAAUGGUUAGAGCUUCCGCCUUGGAUGCGGGUGGGGUGGAGUCGCAGGUUCAAACCCCGGCCGAGUCA